CACCCAAUCUACAUGUAGAUUGAAGUCACCCAUUAUAACUGCUGUUCCUUUAUUGCACACAUUUCUAAUUUCCUGUUUAAUACCAUCUCUGACCUCACUACUACUGUUAGGUGGCCUGUACACAACUCCCACCAGCGUUUUCUGCCCCUUAGUGUUACGCAGCUCUACCCAUAUCGAUUCCACAUCUUCCCGGCUUAUGUCCUUCCUUUCUAUUGCGUUAAUCUCAUCUUUAACCAGCAACGCCACCCCACCUCCUUUUCUUUCAUGUCUAUCCUUCCUGAAUAUUACUCUCAUAUAGCUACUAUUUCUAUGGUUGGUCGUAGGUUUCUGGUCAUUCGGAUCACCUCACACAGUACAUCGAUGACAAGUGACUCAGCAAUGGUACUGCUAUUCAUUGUAUGUCAAAGGCAAAUGCAGGUUUCCCAAUCAUCAGAAGUGGACAUUGCCUGGCAUUGUUGUGGCACGAAUGUUACUUAACACCUCACGCCUGACUGAAUUGGAACUGUUUGACAAUGAGGAAGUGGAAAUGUGGGUUAGUAAUUCUUCCAAUGACACAAAGGUUGAUAGUGUGGAAGGUUGUAGGUUACAGGUUACAACAGGACAUUGACAGGAUGCAGAGCUGGGCUGAGAAGUGACAGAUGGAAUUCAAUCCAGAAAAGUAGAAAGUGAUACACUGUGGAAGAUCAAACUUGACGGCAGAGUUACAAGAUAAAUAGGAUUCUUGGCAGUGUGUAAGAUGAGGAAUCUGAGGAUACUCACCCAAAGAUCUCUUAAAGCUGCAGUGCAAGUUAAUAGGUGGUUAAAAAUUUGUACGGUCUUCUGGCCUUUAUUGGUCAGGGGAUUAAGUUCAAAUCAUGUGAUUAUGUUACAGCUCUACAAAACUCUGGUUGGAUCACACAGAGUACUGUGUUCAGAUUUGGUCUCCUCAUUAUAGGGAGGUUGUGGAAGCUUUAGAGAGGGUACAGAGGAGAUUUACCAGGAUGCUGUCUGGAUUAGAGAAUAUGGACUUUCGCCUGCGGCUCAAUGGAGUAAUACAUAAAUUUUGUGGCUGCCUUUAAUUCCUCCUUUUCCCCAGUUUAAACCUUGAAUUUUUAACUUUUAUUUUUCAGAUCUGAGAGGGAAAUAGUUGUCAUUAUGUCAUAUCCUUUGAGAAGUGGAAAGCAGCCUUUUGAACCCAGCAAUGGAAAGGGAAAAACUUCGAAAGAAAAAUCGGAAGAUAUGCCUGUCUGGGCUGAGCGCUUGGAACGUGCGUUGAUGGCUCUUGACAACAAAAUAGACAAUAAUACUUCUGAGUUGAAGUCAUUCCGACAGAGUUUUCAGACUAUGAGGAAAACAUUAUUUCUUUGAAUACUGAGUUUAAAGAAUUGAAACGUCAGAUUGUGGAUAUUUCAACCUGCUUGGACCAGGCUCAACGUAAAAUUGUCAAUUUAGAGGCGAAGUCUCGUCAGAAUAACAUUCGAAUUAUUGGACCGAAGGAAAGUUCUGAGAGUAGGAAUUUAUUGGACUAUUUUGCCAAUUUGUUUCAAUCUUUGUUUCCGGAUAUUCUACCUCAGCCCCCCAAUAUUGAAAGAGCUCAUAGAAUUUCCAUUUCGUAUUUUCAGAUUUCAGGUAAAGCUCGGCCAAUUUUGGUCAAUUUUCUUCACUUUAAAGUUAAAGACCAAAUCAUAAAAUGUGCAAAGAAACAGAGUUUUUAAAUUUAAUGGUUCCAAGAUCCGUUUUUACGAAGACUAUCCAUGGGAAAUUAUGGAACAGUGGAUCAAAUUUGUCCCAGCUAUGAAAAUAGCUCAUGCAAAGGGACUUUUUCCCAUUGCUUCGUUAUCCCGCUAGAUUAAAAUUAUUUCCCAAAGAUUCUACACCUCGUGUGUUUUCCGAUCCCCAAGCAGCAUCGUACUUUGUUAACUCUAUCGUGGAGUCGGCUGACGCAUGAAGGAUAUUUGGGUUGCUGAAUAAUUUUCUGAAAGAAAACAGGCUUUGAAGAUUUUUGAUAUGCUGAGGAUUUCCUUUGAUCGAUGAACUAUUUAAAGAGCUGAACUUUUUUGUCUGACUAGUGAAUGACUUUUUUGAAGUCUGUUUGGUAUAUGGAGUGAACUAACACAGUGGACAGAUUAUUAACUGGUUUUAUUAUCUGCUUCUUUCUUCCUUUUCUUUUACUAAUUAAGUGAUAGCUUUUAUAGUUUAUAUAGACUGUCUCAUACAGUGAGGAGUGUUUAGAAUAGAUAAUUAGCUUUAGUUUCUUUUGUUAAAGUUGGGUAGUAAGCUAAAGGAAUGAAUAAUGGUGCCUUUCUCUUGUUAGAGAUUGUAUUGUUUAGGUUUAAUAGUAUUGUUUUGACGAUUCUGGAGACUUGUUUUUGCAUUCCCUAGUAUAUUUUCAAUGAUUAACCAUAAACAUUCUUUUUCUGCUUCUCUGCAGGGUUUUCUUAUCUUAGGGACAAGUACUUUCUUUCUAAAGGGGAGGGGGGAAUUGGGAGAAAAACUUUUAAAUCACUAUUUAUAUUGAGCCGCACGCAGAGUUCUGCUUUUUCUUUUCUCUUUGGGGAGGCAUUCCGGCUUCUUCCUUCCUUUUGCCGGAUUUCUAUCUUUUGGGAUGGUGGGAGGAUUCGGGGUAUUUUUGCACUUUGGGGUUUAUUGUGGGAUUUUUUUUCAGUUAUUUUCCCAUUAUGGAGUUCUGGAGCAUGCGUGUUUUCUAUAUGGUUAUACUCAUCACUGGCAUCUUCGAUUAGCCCGCGAUGAAAUGAAAUGAAAAUGAGAAUAUAUCUCAUGAGGACAAGUUGGGCUUUUCUCUUUGGAGUGGAGGAUGAAAGACGACUUGAUAGAGAUGUACAAGGUCAUUUAUAAAAAUCACAAAGAGGAAGGAUCCCAGGACAGAACCCUGCAGAACACUACUGCUCACCAUCCUCCAUGCAGAAUAUGAACCAUCUACAACCAUCCUUUGCUUUCUAUGGGCAAGCCAAUUCAGGAUCCACAAAGCAAGGUCUCCUUGGAUCUCAUGCCUCAUUACUUUCUGAAUGAGACUCACUUGGGGAAGCUUAUCAAAUACCUUACUGAAAUCUAUAUCCACUACAUCUACUGCUCUACCUUCAUCACUGUAUUUUGUUACAACCUCAAAGAAUUUAAUCAGGCUCGUAAGGCAUGACCUGCCCUUGACAAAGCCAUGCUGACUAUCCUUAAUCAGAUUAUGUCUCUCCAAAUGCUCAUAAAUCCUGCCUCUCAGGAUCUUCUCCAACAACUCGCCCACCACUGAAGUAAGACUCGCUGGUCUAUAACUUCCUGGGUUAUCUCUCCUCUUUUGCUUGAACAAGGGAACAACAUUUGCAUUCUUCCAAUCCUCUGGUACUUCUCCUGUCUUUAUUGAUGAUGCAAAGAUCAUUGCCAGAAGCUCAGCAAUUUCUUCCUUCGCUUCCCACAGUAGCCUGAGGUAUAUCUCAUCUGGUCCUGGCGACUUAUCUAACUUAAUACCUUUCAAAAGCUCCAAGUCAUCCCCACAAUUGCCAAGGUCUUUUUCACUGGUAAAUACUGAAGCAAAGUAUCCAUUAAGUACCUCUGCUACCUCCUCUGGCUCGAUGCAUGUUUCCACUCUCACUCCUGAUUGAUCCAAUCCUCACACAGCUAAUCCUCUUGCUCUUCACAUACUUGUAGAAUGCCUUAGGGUUUUCCUUAAUCCUGCUUGCCAAGGCCUUCUUAUGAUUUCCUAAUUUCAUUCUUCAGCUUCUUCCUUUACCUCCUCAGAUGUUGCAUGACCCAAUGAGUUCUUCCAGUGGUUUAUUUUUACUCCAGAUUCUAGUUUCUGCAGUAUCUUGUACCUCUUUGAUACUAUUCUCCUAAGUUUUGAUGAAGGGUCUUUGACCUGAAACCUUAAAGGUUUCCCUUCACACAGAAACUGCUUGAAAUCUUCCAGCAUUUCUGUUUAUGUUGCUCUGAUUUUUAGCUUUGUCUUUGAAUCUCCAACCUAUGGCAAAUGGCUAUUAAAUACCUCCAAUAUCCUGAAUGUUUUGAUACACAGAACAAAAUCUUCCUUUACUCUUUUCAUUUCCAACAAUACAAUACUAGUUUGUAUAACUGUAAUUGCAGCUUGUAAUGUAACUCCUGGAAUUUAAAUAUCAAUCUGUUGAAGUCUACACUGCAGUCCCCACAAAGCUAAUAACAUCUUUCAAAAGGUGUGCUGUCUAGAAUUUCACAAUGCUUCAUUCGUAGUGUAAACUGGGCUUUGCAAAGCUGCAGGACAAGACAUACCAGUCUAAUAAUAAUUACAAAUGCCAGUAUCUUGUUAGUCUUUGAUUAUUUUUACACCUGUGAUAAUUUAAUAAUGUACAUGGUCUCCUGUGGUUUGAUUAUUGAGUUUUCGAAUUUAGGAAAGCACACUUUUCUUGUCCCAUUGAUGUUCAAUGUAGAUGAUCUAAUAUUUGACGGGUGGAGUGACAUUUGCAAAUUUCCAGUCUUCUGGAACUAUUCCAGAAUAUAGUGAUUCUUGAAGGAUCAUAACUAAUGCUUCCCAUGGUCUCUUCAGCCACCUCUUUCUAAACUCUAGGGUGUACACCAUCUGGUCCAGGUGACUUAUCUAACUUCAGACCUUUCAGUUUCCCAAGAACCUUCUCUCUAGUUAUUGUAACUUCACACAUUUUAUAUCCAUGAUACUUGGAACUUCCAGCAUACUGCUAGUGUCUUCCACAGUGAAGACUGAUGCAAAUACUUAUUCAGUUCAUCCGCCAUUUUAUUGUCCCCCAUUACUAUCUCUCCAGCAUUGUUUUCCAGCGAUCCAACAUCCACUCUUGCUCUCUUUUACACUUUAUGUAUCUGAAGAAACUUUUGGUAUCCUCUUUAAUGUUAUUGGCUAGCUUACUUUCAUUUUCCAUCUGUAUCUUCUUAAUGACUUUUUAGUUGCCUUUUGUUUUUUUUAAAACAAACUUCCCAAUCCUCUAACUUCUCACUAAUUUUUGCUCUAUUAUUUGCCCUCUCUUUGGCUUUUAUUUUGGCUUUGACUUCUUGUCUGCAUUAGUUCCAUCAUGUUUCUUUUAUAAUACUUCCUCUUUAGGAUGUAUAUAUCCUAUGCCAAAUUGCUUCCAGAAAUUCCAAAAAUUGCUGCUCUGCAAUCAUCCCUGCCAAUGUUCUUUUCCAAUCAAUUCUAAUGAACACCUCUCUCAUGGCUCUGUAGUUCCCUUUACUCCACUGUAAUACUGAUACAUGUGAGUUUAGCUUCCUUCUCAAAUUUUAGUGUGAAUUUGAUCAUAUUAUGAUCACUUUCCUCUAAGGGUUCUUUUACCUUAAGCCGUCUUAUCAAUUCUAGUUCAUUGCGCAAAACUCAAUCCAGAAUAGCUUCUAGAUCUUCUAGUGGGCUCAACCACGAGCUGCUCUAAAAAGCCAUCUCAUAGGCACUCUCGAGAUUCCCCCUCCUAUACCAACCUGAUUUUCUCAAUCUACCUGCAUAUUGUACUUAUGUCAGGAUGCUGCUCAGUGUUUAACACCAUCGUUCCCACAGUCCUGCUUGAUAAGCUACAACACCUGGGCCUCUGUACCUCCCUCUGCAUCUUCGGCUUUCUAACCGGAAGACCACAAUAUAUGUGAAUUGGUAAUAAUACCUCCUCAUCGCUGACGAUUAACACUGGCGCACCUCAAGGGUGUGUGCUAAGCCCACUGUUCUACUCCCUCUAUACCCAUGACUAUGUGUAUAGCUCAAAUGUAAUCUAUAAAUUUGCUGAUGACACAACCAUUGCUGGUAGAAUCUCAGAUGGAGAUAAGAGUGGUGUCACAGGAACAACCUUGUACUCAAUGUCAGUAAGAUGGAAGAGCCAAUUGUGAACUUCAGGAAAGGCAAGACGAGGGAACACAAACCAAUCCUCAGAGCGACCAGAAGUGGAGAGAGUAAGCAAUUUCAAGUUCUUGGGUGUCAAGAUUUCUGAGGAUCUAACCUGGGCCUAACAUAUCGAUGCAGCUUUAAAGGCAGCAAGACAGUGGCUAUGUUUCAUUAGAAGUUUGAAGAGAUUAACAAAAAUGGUCCCAGCACUGAUUCCUGCAGCUCACCACUCGUCACAGGACUCGAGUCAGAAUUUCUUAAAUGUGCAAGAGGCAUGGAAUACUCACUAGCCUGGGAGAUUCACAGAAAAUAUUCAAGAGUACAGCUAUUCCACAUCAGUUAAUUAGAAAAAUACAGAAUUCAACUCCAGUUAGUAAAAACACAACAAAUGAAAAGUUGAAAAGCAAUGGACAGUGAUGGGGAGAUGAUUGAAUGGGAACCAGCUGCCAAUGGAAUCACAAAGGCUGAAUGGUAAAGUGGGUGCUUGCAAUUUUAAUGAAUGACAUGCAAACUGGAAUAAUGUUCAAUAUGCCACAAGCUUGGAUGUGACUCUAUUGUUCACCUUUCCCUAACUUACACACCAUUUUGUUUAUCCUGCCCAUUACUUGUAGAUCAGUUAACUUAAAUCUUGUGCACGUGUUUCCCCUUUUAUUUAAACUAUAAUAUGCACUGGCUCAUUUUUCAACUUAGAAGGGUCCUCAACCAAAACAGAUCUGCCCAAAACCUCCAGCAUUUCUGCUUAUGGAGCAAAUCUCAUGCCAACACUCAUGACUAAGUAGCUUUCCAGAAUCCAGCAGACAGCCAGUCAUUAGCUGGUUGUUUGGCUGAGUAAUAAAAUCAUCUUGAUGGAUUGUAUUCCAUUUCCUGCAUCUUGCUUGAGAUUUGCAGGAACACAUUAAGUUAAAAAGAAUCAAGAAUUUUGAAAAGUCAAAUAACAGGCUAUAAAAAGUUGGAUUGCCGAAAUGCAACAAUCACUUUGUAAUUGGGUUAGAGCGUAAAUACCAUCCUGCAUCAUACGGAGGUGCCGACCUUGAAUAAAUUGGUUGUACUAGAACCUUGCAUGUGACUAAUCUAGUUUGCAAGACUAAUUACAAUGCAAUAUGGUGUUUUUAAAACACACGGGAGUCAACAGUAUAUUCCCUCUGGAUAAUAUGGAGAGAAUGCAAAAUGGAAGUAGUAACAUAACGAAUAACAACAAGAACCUGAGGAAAUGAAUUGCAAAGUAAUCCAGAUGCCAGAAAUCUAAGAUAAUAAGAGAAUAAUCUGGAAAUACAUUUUAUAAUAGUCAUAAAACCUUGGCUCAGCCAAGUAUAGCUGGGCUUGAUUAAGUUACUCAGCAAGAUCACUGGAUGACUAAUUCCUGGCAAGACUCCAGAGAGGAGCACAGAAGAAAUUCCGCACACAUUGCUGAUAACUUCCAAAGAAAAUAUGAUUACAUUGCAAGAAAGGCAGAUGGCUUUGGAAGCUUCCCCAUAACUAAGGUCAGAUUACAAGGGAGGUUUCUAUUUAUAAACAUAGGUAUAAUGGAUCAGCAUUCAUCGCCUGCUAUUUCACUUCCAUGUUUUGUAUAGUCUCUUAAAUUAAUACACUUCUAAUACAUUCAGCAUAGCAAGUGAAAAACCAGGGUAAAUAUUUUUCUUCUUAAGGCUGACGCUGUAGAAUACUAUAUAUAGUGAUGAAAUUGAGAAUCAAGUCAGCAUUUAAAAAGUCAGUCUGAUAGGUGCUGCCCUGGGCAGGAGGUACAGGAGUCUUAGGUCCCACCAGGUUCAGUUAUAAUCUUACAACCAUCAGGCUCCUGAACUGGAGUGGAUAACUUCACUCACCUAAUUUGUGAACUGGUUCUACAACUUCAAACACUCCACAACUCAUUCCCCAAUAUUAUUUAUUUUGUUUUUCUUUUCAUGUUUACAGAGUUUACUGACACAACCGAUUGACAGAUGACGCAAUAGCCACUGCUCUACAUACCAUCCUUACACAUCUGGAGAAGGAGGAUGCUGUUCUUGGACUACAGUUCAGCAUUUAACACCAUAGUUCCAUCUAGGCUCGACAAGAAGCUCAGAGACCUCGGCCUUGAACAUGCAUUGUACAGCUGGAUCCUGGACUUCCUGUCAGAUCACCAGCAGGUUGUAAGAGUGGGCUCCCUCACCUCCAACCCUCUGACUGUCAAUACAGGAGCCCCUCAGGGCUGCGUACUGAGUCCCCCUCCUUUACUCCCUGUAUACCCAUGACUGUAUUGCCACCCACAGCUCCAAUCUGUUAACUAGAUUUGCCAACAACACUACAUUGAUUGGCCUUAUCUCAAACAAUAAUGAGGUGGCCUACAGGGAUGGCAGAAUGGCAGGCAGUGACUAGUGGGGUACCGCAAGGCUCAGUGCUGGGACCCCAGUUGUUUACAAUAUAUAUUAAUGAUUUGGAUGAGGGAAUUAAAUGCAGCAUCUCCAAGUUUGCAGAUGACACAAAGCUGGGCGGCAGUGUUAGCUGUGAGGAGGAUGCUAAGAGGAUGCAGGGUGACUUGGAUAGGUUAGGUGAGUGGGCAAAUUCAUGGCAGAUGCAAUUUAAUGUGGAUAAAUGUGAAGUUAUCCACUUGGUGGCAAAAACAGAAAAACAGAUUAUUAUCUGAAUGGUGGCCGAUUAGGAAAAGGGGAGGUGCAAUGAGCCCUGGGUGUCAUUAUACACCAGUCAUUGAAAGUGGGCAUGCAGGUACAGCAAGCGGUGAAAAAGGCGAACGGUAUGCUGGCAUUUAUAGCGAGAGGAUUCGAGUACAGGAGCAGGGAGGUACUACUGCAGUUGUACAGGGCCUUGGUGAGACCACACCUGGAGUAUUGUGUGCAGUUUUGGUCCCCUAAUCUGAGGAAAGACAUUCUUGCCAUAGAGGGAGUACAAAGAAGGUUCACCAGAUUGAUUCCUGGGAUGGCAGGACUUUCAUAUGAUGAAAGACUGGAUGAACUGGGCUUAUACUCGUUGGAAUUUAGAAGAUUGGGGGGGAUCUGAUUGAAACGUAUAAAAUCCUAAAGGGAUUGGACAGGCUAGAUGCAGGAAGAUUGUUCCCGAUGUUGGGGAAGUCCAGAACGAGGGGUCACAGUUUGAGGAUAAAGGGGAAGCCUUUUAGGACCAAGAUUAGGAAAAACUUCUUCACACACAGAGUGGUGAAUCUGUGGAAUUCUCUGCCACAGGAAACAGUUGAAGCCAGUUCAUUGGCUAUAUUUAAGAGGGAGUUAGAUAUGGCCCUUGUGGCUAAAAGGAUCAGGGGGUAUGGAGGGAAGGCUGGUGCAGGGUUCUGAGUUGGAUGAUCAGCCAUGAUCAUACUGAAUGGCGGUGCAGGCUCGAAGGGCCGAAUGGCCUACUCCUGCACCUAUUUUCUAUGUUUCUAUGUUUCUAUGUAAGAAGUCAUCUCUCUGACACAGUGGUGUCAAGAAAACAACCUCUUCCUCAAUGUUGCAAAAACAAAGGAGCUGAUUGUGGAUUACAAGAGUAAUGGAGACAGGCUAAUCCCUAUUGACAUCAAUGGAUCUGGGGCUGAGGGGGUAAACAGCUUCAAGUUCCUUGGCAUCCACAUCACCGAGGACUUCACGUGAUCUGUACACACCAGCUGUGUGGUGAAAAAGGUACAACAGCACCUCUUUCACCUCAGACGGUUGAGGAAGUUUGGUAUGGGCUGCCAAAUCCUUUCUACAGGGGCACAACUGAGAGCAUCCUGACUGGCUGCAUCACUGCCUGGUAUGGGAACUGUAUCUCCCUUAGUCGCAGGACUCUGUAGAGAGCGGUACGGACAGCCCAGCACAUCUGUAGUUUGAAUUUCCCAUGAUUCAGGAUAUUUACAAGGACAGGUGUGUAAAACGGGCCCGUAGGAUCAUUGGGGAUCCAAACCACUCCAAUCACAAUCUAUUCCAGCUGCUACCAUCCAGGAGGCGGUACCGCAGCACAAAAGCCAGGACCAACAGGCUCCGGGACAGUUUCUUCUACCAGGCCACCAGACUGAUGAACUCAUGCUGACUUGAGUGUACUCUCAUUGACUGUUCUAUUUAUUAUAAUUAUAAAUUACUAUGAUUGAACAUGGCACAUUUAGAUGGAGACGUAACGCAAAGAUUUUUACUCCUUAUGUUUGUGAAGGAUGUAAGAAAUAAAGUCAAUUCAAUUCAAAUUCAGGUGUUGCACUUUGGGAGAUCAAUAUAAAGGGAAAAUACACUAUUAAUGGCAAGACAGUAUUGAUGUACAGAGGGAUCUUGGGGCUGAAAGUCUACAGCUCCCUGAAAGUGACUGCAUCGGUUGACAGGGUGGCAAAGAAGGCAUUUGGCAUACUUGCUUUUAACAGUCAAGGCACUAAAUUCCAGAAGUUAUGUUGCAGCUUUAUUAAACACUAGUUAGGCUGCUUCUGGAGUAACGUAUUCAAUUCUUGUCACCCCAUUAUAGGAAGGAUGUGCAGAAGAGGUUUGUCAGGAUGCUGCUUUGAUUAGAGAGCAAGCACGAUAAGGAGAGGUUGGACAAACUUAGGUUGUUUACUCUGGAGUAACAGGACACUGAGAGGAGAAAGAGAAACGUAAAAAGAGAGCAAAGCCAAUAUCUUUUUUCCAGGACAUGUAUUUAAGGUCAGGGAGGCAAGUUGUUUUUUUCCCUCAUUCACAGAGUGUAGUGGGUGCCUCGAAUGCUCUGCCAGGGUUAGUAGUGGAGGUAAAUAUGAUAGCAGCAUUUAAGACACUCUCAGAUAGACAGAUGAAUAAGCAUAUAAUGGAGGGAUAAGAACACUGUAUAGGCAGAAGGGAUUAGUUUAGUUAGUUAAUAAUUUAAUUUCUAAAUUAACUAGUUCAGCACAAUAUCAUGGGACAAAAGGCCUGUACUGUUCUAUGUUCCGUAAACAUGAGCUGAAGGGCCAGCUCCUGUCCUGAACUGUAUUAUGUUCUAAAUAAUAUGACACCUUGUAUUCUGAUGGCUAUACCUGAUGUCAUGAAUAUUGAUUUCUCUUUCUAGUAAUAAAUGUUUCCAUCCCCUUCGCUCUUCUUCUAUUCUCCACUCUGGCCUUUUACCUCUUCUCAGCUGCCCCAGGUCCCCUCCUCCGUUCCUUUCUCCUAUGGUCCACUCUACUCUCCUAUCAUAUUUCUUCUUCUCCAGCCCUUUACCUUUCCAACCUAACUGGCUUAAUCUUCUAGUUAUUCUCCUCCCCCUUCCCUUUCCCUUUUUAUUCUGGCAUCUUCCCCCCUCCUUUUCUGUCCUGAACAGGGUCGCAGCCUGAAACGUUGACUGUUUAUUCCUUUCCAUAGAUGCCGCCUGACCUGCUGAGUAUCUCCAGUAUUUUGCAUGUUGCUCUGGAUUUCCAGCACCUGCAGAAUUUCUAAUGCUUAUAUUAAAUAGGUGUUUGUGAUUGGAAGGCUGUUACCAUUAGGUUCUAUUCAGGGCUCAGGAUCCAGUCCCUAGCUUUAUGCACAAUAUUUUAACGACCUAGUCUCAAAUGUAAGGACCAUUGUAAAAAAAAUUUGGCUGUGAGAUUAACUAUGAGGAAGAAAAACUGAAUGUCGUUAGACAUAACUAUCUGGUCUAUUGUAGCAAAUAGAAUUCAUUCAGAGAAAUGUGAAUUAAUCUAUUUGGGAGGUGCAACAAGGCAAGAGAAUACACAGCAAAUGGAAGGAUUCUAAGAGGUAUAGGAGUACAGAUACACAACUACACAAAUCCUUAAAGCUAACAGGACAGGUUAAUAAAGGGUUAAAAAAGUCAAAUAGGGUGUUUUCCUUUAAUGGUCUUGGCCAGAGAUUAUGCCAGAAUAAUAAACAACACUAGUUAGAGUACAGCUUGAGCACUGCAUAUAGCUCUGGUCAUCACAUUACAGAAAAGAUGCUAUAGAACAAAGGUGCAGCGGAGAUUUAUUAGUAUGCUACCAGGACUAAAGAUUUAGCUAGCAGGUGUACUGAAUAUUCUGUGGUUCUUUCUCCUGGAGUAGAGGAAACUGAAGGAAAUUUCAUUUGUGUAUACCGUUAUGAGGGGCCUUGAUAUGUAAACAGGGAGGAUAUAUUUUUCUGAGCAAAGUGGUUAAAAACUAGAAGGUAUAGAUUUGAAAUAAUUGCAGAAAAGAUUAGAUGAAGUAUUUUUCACACCCAGAGUUAUAGGGACUGGAACUGACUUUCAAGAAAAUUUAUAGUGACAGAAAUCUAUAUCCCAUUUAAAAAGUGCUUGGAUGCAUACGUGCAGAUCUUUGAUCUCGAGGGCUAUGGAUCAAUGCUAGAAGGCAGGAAAGGGUUGGGUAACCUUUCACAACUGACAGGGACAUAACGGGCUUCCUUCUGUCAUAUUUUUUUCUGCAGUUCCAGGAAAACCCUCUGGAAGUCCACACAAACUUUUGUUUAAAUAAUUGUGUAGGAUGUGGGUACUGCUGGCUAGGCCAGCAUCCACUGCCUAUUCCCAAUUUCCCCUAAGUUUGUUACGGCAACUAAGAGGUAGAUAUUCUCUUGUCUUAAUUGUCACAAAAAAAUAUGCUGUACACUGAGCACCAGUUCACACAAUACCAUGUCUCAAUGUUUUUGAAAAUAGAGAAGUGCCAUAAGUGAACACUUCCUCGUCACCCACAUUUUAAUCAAAUGUGUUUAAAUAAGCGUGUCUACAAUGUAUGACUGGGAACACCAGAUAAAUCACAUUGUCAAAUUCGCCAAUGACAUGACAGUGUUGGAGCUCAUUACCACCAACAAUGAGACUGCCUACAAAGAGAAGAUGGAAGAGCUCGAAGCCUGGUGCCAUGCAAAUAACCUUAACGUCAUCAAGAAAGGAGAUGGUUCAUGACUUCAGGAGAACUUGCAGCACUCACAUACCCCUUUACAUCGGCAGCACAGCAGUGGAAGCUGCAAAUAGUUCAAACACAGAUAAGCUUACAUGGUCCCAGAACACAUCAUAUAGUCAAGAAAGCUCAUAACUGCCACUACUUGCUGAAGAGUGCUGGAGCUAGUACAUCCAUAUUCAUAUCAUUCUACAGAGGCACAGUGGAGAGUAUCCUGACGAGAUGCAUCACUCUUUGGUGAAGAAACUGAACUACAGAAGACAGGAAGGCUCUCAAAACUGCUCAACGCAUCACCAGUGCCAGCCUACCCGCCAUAUAUACAGAAAGGUGUCAGAAAAGGGCCAAUAACAUCAUGAAGGAUCCCACUCACCCUGAUCAUGGCCUGUCUAUCCUACUCCCAUCAGGAAGGAGGCUAUGCAGCAUCCAUGCCAGGACUACCAGAUUCAAAAAUGGAUGAAUAUGAGGUGUUGCUCUUCCAACAACCCAAGUGUGGCCGCAUCACAACAGUGGUGGAGGCCAUGGAUGACCUCCAACCUAAGCAUGGCCUCAUCUACUGUCGCGAUGAGACCACUCUUGGAUUAGAGGAACACCACCUUAUAUUCUGUUUGGGUAGCCUCCAGCCUGAUGGCAUGAACAUCGAUUUUUUAAACUUCCGAUAAUGCCCCCAACACUCAACCUCCUUCACCAUUUCCCAUCCCAUUUUCCCUCUCUCACCUUAUCCUUUUUCCCGCCCAUCGCCUCCCUCUGGUGCUCCUCUCCCUUUUUUUCUUCCAUGGUCUUCUGUCUCUUUCACCAAUCAACUUCCCAGCUCUUUAUUUCAUCCCUCCCUCUUCAGGUUUCACCUAUCACCUUGUGUUCCUCUCUCCCCUCCCCCCACCUUUUAAAUCUACUCCUCCACUUUUUUCUCCAGUCCCGAUGAAGGAUUUCAGCCCAAAACAUUGACUGUACUUUUUUCCACAGAUCCUGCCUGGCCUGCUGAAUUCCUCCAGCAUUUUGUAUGUUUUGCUCGGAUUUCCAGCAAGUGCAGAUUUUCUCAUUCGUUCUCCGCAUCUCUGUUUAAAUGGACGCCUCUCUAUCCUGAGGCUGUGCUGUCUUGUCCUAGACUCCCCCACCAUGGGAAACAUCCUUUCCACAUCUACUGUCUAGGCCUUUCAACAUUCAAAAUGUUUUAAUGAGAUUUCCCCCCAACCUUCUAAAUUCCAGCAAGUACAAACCUAGUGCCAUCAAACAUUCCUCAUAUGAUAACCUUUUCAUUCUUGGAAUCAUCCUUGUGAACCUCCUCUGAACCUUCAAUGCCAGCACAUCUUUUCUUAGAUGAGAAGCCCAAAAUUGUGCACAGUACUCAAGGUCUUAUAAGGCCUCAUCACAGCAUUAUAAAACCUCAGCAUCACAACCCCACUCUUAUAUUUUAGACCUCUUGAAAUGCAUGCUAACAUUGCAUUUGCUUUUCUUAGCACUGACUCAGGCUACGUCCACACUAGACUGGAUACUUUUGAAAACGCCGGUUUUGCGUAAAAACGAUAGACGUCCACACCAGGCGUUUUUGAAAAUACUUCCAUCCACAUUAAAACGGGUAUUUGGGCGAAUCUCCUCCUACUGGGUAUGUGCAGGACACAUCUACAGAAAACAAGUGAAGAGGAAACCGUAUACUUGGUGCGCGUUUGUCCAGUUACAGACUAGAAAAAACUUAAAAGGAAAUUGCCAAAUGACGGACAGCUGUUGGCUCUCGCGCAGGAGGACAUGGAACUAAAAAAACAAAUACUGCAGCGUAUGGAGGCAACUGACAGGGAGUUCACGGACAGUAUGACCCAGCUGAUGACAAACAUCAAACUGACUAACUCUGUUGCAGAGGGAUUUGCAAUGAUGAGGAAUAUGAUGGCUCCCCCCCAGUACUUUUCACCACCACAAUACCAGCCUCACAGCCACUACAAUAGCUACACAUACAAACACACGGACCCCCGGGUGGCCCCACCAACAUCUUCCCCACUCCCACAGAGGGGUCACCCUGGAAACCUUUCCUAUAGCCAUAGUCUCUUCACUGAUGAAAGGGACGACAGGUUUUUCAAAACCUUCAGUUACCCCGUACACACUACAACGCCCAUCCGGCAUUUUCAGAUUUAAACACUCUGGAGAGCGUUUUAGAAUAGCUCCGUUUUCGGGGGAGGAAAAUGCCGUUUCAGUGUUGAAGGAGGGUCAAAACGAAGAGAAAAAGCUUCGGUUACAGACGUAUCCAGUCUAAUGUGGACGCAGCCUCAGUCAGCAAGUUAACCUUUAGGAUGUUCUGCACAAGGACUCUCAAGUCCCUUUGUAUCCCAGAUUUUUGGAUUUUCUUCACACUUAGAAAAUACAGGUUUGUAACCCGAUAGUUAAAUAUACCUUACGUAUUUGGUUUCAAUUCCAAAAAUUUUUUGAUUUUAAUCAAUUUAGACAACAUAUUCUUUUCCCCCUCUUCCACGGACCGUGCUUUUCAAAUUUGGAAGACUAAUGGUAUUUCACGGUUUUUGGAUUUAUUUUUAGAUGGUUCCCUUAUGUCUCUUGAACAAUUAUCUAAUAAAUAUAACUUACCAAGAAUACAUUUUUUUAGAUAUCUCCAAGUUAGAAAUUUCCUAAGUACUAUACUCUCUUCUUUUCCAACGUUACCUCCUACAUAUAUUUUAGAUACUAUAAUUAACCUUAAUCCAUGUCAGAAAGGUGUAACGGCUAUUAUUUAUAAUGCUAUUAUGAAACUUAGGAAAGCUCCAUUCGAUAAGAUUAGGUCAGAUUGGGAAAAGGAAUUGGGCUUUAUCAUUUCGGCGGAUGACUGGGUGCAUAUUUUACAACUAGUCAAUACUUCCUCUAUCUGUUCCAAACAUUCCCUAAUUCAAUUUAAAGUUGUCCAUAGAGCACAUAUGUCCAAAGAUAAAUUAGUUCAUUUUUAUUCUCAUAUUAACCCUCUUUGUGACAGAUGUCAUGGGGAGAUAGCCUCCUUAACUCAUAUGUUUUGGUCCUGUCCUACUCUGGAAACUUUUUGGAAAGACAUUUUUAAUAUUAUUUCAAAGGUAUUGAAUAUAGCUAUCUCUCCCCAUCCUAUUACUGCUAUCUUUGGAUUACCUAAAAUUUCCAGUAAUCUUUCUCCUUCAGCCUGUAGAAUGAUUGCAUUUCUUACUUUAAUGGCGAAAAGAUGUAUUUUACAACAUUGGAAGGAGACUAAUGUUCCAACUAUGUUCUUUUGGUUUUCCCAGACGAUACUAUAUUUAAAUUUGGAGAAAAUUAGAAGUAAUCUUUAUGAUUCUUCAGCUAAAUUUGAACAGACCUGGAGAUCUUUUAUUCAACAUUUUCAUUUAAUGUAAUUUUUUUUCUCUCUCUGUCCAUAUUUACAUUCCCUUCUUGCUUUUUAACUGUUUUUAAAUGGAGGUCGGGUUUGAGGACGUGAUUGUUUUAAGUUGUUUAACUCUACUUGAUUCCUAGUUAGCCCAUUGCUUUGCUUUGCUUUUUAGAUUAGUUGCACGGUGGGUUUUUUCUUUUCCUUAUUGAUAUGUAUGAAAAUUAGUAUACUAUUAUAUUACCUAUUAUUUUAUUUUAUUAUUUUAUAUCUAAACUGCACUGUUUGUACUAAUUUUAUUUUGUGUAUUAAUAUCUUUUGUAAAGUUAUAUUGCAACAGUGUAUUAGUGCCUAUAUAGUUUACCUUUUGUGUACUAAUUUAAUAAAAAGAUUUAAAAAGAAAACAGUAUGUCUUUGGACUAUGGGAGGAAACUGAAGCACCUGGAUGAAACUCAAAUGGUCAUGGGGAGAACAUGCAAACUCCUUACAGACGGCACUGGAAAUGAAAUCUGACACUCCAAGCUGUAAUAGCUCUGCCAGAGAUGGUCAAUCGGUCCAUUAAAUUUUACUUUGAACUUUCUAGUCCGUUCUGCUUCUUUGUGGAGCAAUUCAGUCAGGUAAAUUCAUUGCUCUUAUUAAAUGUGCAAUUUAAAGUAAAAUUAUAUAUUCAAAUUUACAUUCAGAAUCCGUGAUAGAUUAAAAGUCUGAAAAAAAAUGAAUAGGCAGAGGCAGUUCUGAGCACCUGCUAGAUUUGGGCAGUUAGCCUACACAACCCGUUUUAUCUGUCCCUGCAAACCCAACAAUGAAUUGUACAUCAAAAUCACUCCCUAGAUCACAUGCAUUUUAUUUAAUGAUACAUUAGGAAAAGCACAUUUCAAUGGACCUUAUUAACUGAAUGUUUAUUAGCUGAUUGAAGUGGAAGAUAUUAAAGGCACGAGGCACACACAGGACACCACAGAUCAGCCAAGUGUUGGAAAAAAAAGAAUAAACACAAAUGACUCUGCAGAUGUUGGAAAUCUUGAGUAAAGCACAUAAAAUACUGGAAAAACUCAGCAGGCCAGGCAGCAUAUAUGGAAGGGAAUAAGCAUUCAACAUUUUGGGCUGAGACCCUUCAUUAGGACUGGAAAAGAAGGGAAUAAAGAAGCCAGAAUAAGGUGAGGGCAUGAGAAGGAGUACAAGCUGGCAGGUGUUAGGUGAGACCAGGUGAGGGGGGAAGGUGGAAGGAAGGAAGAAGCUAGGAGGAAUAGGUAAAAGAUGCAAAGGCCUUAAGAAAGAAUAUAAUAUGAGAGGAGAGUGAACCAUGGAAGAAAGGGAAGGAGGAGAGGAACCAGAGGGAGAUGAUGUGAGCUGAUAGAUUCGCAGGAGGGAGAUCAUAGGGGAGGAAAGAGUGGAUAAAGAAUUACACAGAGAACGAGCUCUAUGGAAAGUGGAUGGGGGGGGGUGGAGGAGGGUAGGCUGUGCUUAGUAGUAUGAUCCUGUUGAAGAUGGUGUAAGUUACAGAGCAUCAUGUACUGGAUAGUUGGAUAUGGAGGCUCAUGGGGUGGUGGGUAAGAACAAAGGGAACCCUAUCUCUGUUAUUAUAGUAGGAGGAUCAGUUGAAGGUAGAUAUGCAGGAAAUAGACGAGAUGUGGCUGAGGACAGUAUUAUUAAUGCUGGAAGGGAAACCCAUUCUAUGAAAAAGGAGAACCUUUCAGAUGUCCUAGAAUGGAAAGCCUUAUCUUGAGAACAGAUGCACCGGAGAGCAUGGAACUGAGAGAAGAUAAUAGCACUUUUACAAGUGAGACAGUGAUAGUUAGAAUAGUUGAGGUAACCAUUAAGGGUCAGUAGGUUUGUAAGAUGUCAGUACAUAGUCUGUCUCCAGAGAUAUAGAAAAAGAGGAGAGUGGUGUCAGAGAUAUGACAUAAAACAGGAGCAGAAUUAGGACAUUUGGCCCAUUGAGUCUGCUCUGCCAUUCAAUCAGGGCUUAUCCUUCUUUUUACCCUCCUCAGCCCCACUCCCCAUAACAUUUAAUGCCGUAGUCAAUCACAAACCUAUCAAUCUCCGCCUUAAUUACACCUAACAACCUGGCCUCCACAGCUGGCUGAAGAAAUUAGAUGGACACCCUCUAUCCUGAGGCUGUGCCCUCUUGUCCUAGACUCCUCCACCAUAGGAAACAUCCUUUCCACAUCUACUGUCUCGGCCUUUCAACAUUCAAAAGGUUUCAGUGAGAUCCCCCUUCAUCCUUCAUAACAGGUGGAUCAAGUAAAUUUGAGAGUAGAAUGGAAGUUAGAGGCACAGUUGAUGAAGUCGUUGAGUACAGCAUGGGUGCAGGAAACAGCAGCAAUGCAGUUGUCAAUGUAACAGAGAAAGUGUUAGGGAGUAUUUCAAGAGCUUGGGUAUUACAGUAAUUUCAGUUGUGAUCAAUAUAUUUUUCUCAAGUGAGACAUAUUAAACAAGGUGGAGCAAAAAACAGGUGAUUGAACUAUAAUUUAAAUGAAUAACAGAUCAGCGCUGAGCAAGAGAAAGCUUACCCAUGCUUCUAAGAUUUAAAAACAAAACACAAAUCCAAAUUAGCAUGAUAAUAAACUAUUCCAAAACAGACAACCUGUUGAUGUGAAAAGGUCAAGCAAAAAUUAGGACAACAUAAACACGAAUUUCAACAUUCACAACCAUGCUCCAGUUACCAAGAUAACCCAGACUGGAGCAAAAUUAUGCAUUAUUACUAUGAGAGAUACUUUGUCAUAGGUUUCACUAUCACAGCAUAAGCAUCCAUAUGGAAUACUUGUCAAAUGGUCUGGAAAGCAGCAAAGUAUUUGCAAUGGAUCCACAUUCUAUUAGUUGUCAGUGUUCAGUUGGUCAUUUGCCACACUGGAAAACGAGAACUGUUAUAACCAUCUUGAAGGACAAUUUUUUUAAAAGAACAGUUGGUGUCGAGAAUGAGUUGCCAGUCAGGUGGAGGAGGUGGGAACUAUAACAUUCAAAAUUCAUCUGGACAGAUAAUUAAAUAAGCACAACAAAGACGGAUAUGGAAUUAAUGCAGGCAUGAUAGCUGGUAUUUCUGAAGGGCCUGUUUAUAUGCUGUACAAUUCUAUGACCCCGUAAAUCUCUUGAACGGCACUGGAGAGAGUCUAGAGGUGGCUCAUCAGAAUGAAAGGAUUAACAAAUGAGGAGCGUCUAAUGGCUCUGGGCUUGUACUCACUAGAGUUUAGAAGAAUGACGGGGAGAUAUCAUUGAAACUUAUCAAAUAUUGAAAGGCCUAGAUACAGUGAAAGUGGAGAGGAUGUUUCCUAUAGUGGAAGGGUUUAUGACCAGAAGGCACAGUCUCAAGAAAGAGGGAUAUCCAUUUAGAACAGAGAUGAGGAGGAAUUUCUUUAGCCAGAGGAUGAUAAAUCUAGGGAAUUUAUUGCCCCAGACAGCCAUAGAGGCCAAGACAUCGGUAUACUUAAAGUGGAGGUUGAAAGGUUCUUGUUUAGAAUUUUUUUAUAUUCGAGUAGGACAGAGUUGCUGAGAGAUUCAAGUUUGACUUGGAUAUAUUUAUUCCUUGACAAAAUAAAGGGCCUGUUUUCUAUUCUGUAUGACUCUAGGAAACAGCUGAAAAAUCUCCAGGAAAUAACCUCCUAGUCAAAACACUUCACAUUAGUCUGAAACAUUUAUCUUAGUAUUGAUAAGUGGGAGGACUAGAAACGGAACAAAAUCUACAAGAAGCAUGAAGAUAAUUGCUGGGGUUGUCUGACGGGUUCCUGUGGGUGGAUGAGGGAGGUGUUGCUUAAUGAAACUAAUAAUAGUCAUUGGGUUCUGUUCAAUUUAUGGUUUAAAAGACAGUGAAUGCCAGGUAACAUGGCCAAAUUGCAGCUCAGCUGGUGUGAAUGCAGUAUUGCUGUCAAACUUUGACAAAUUCUGAUGUGGCCAGCCUUGCAGAGGGCGGUUAGGGGAGCAGAGAAGGUUAUUGGGGUCUCCCUACCUUCUGACCAAGACCUCUUUCAGGGUCGAUGCCUCCAGAAGACACGGUACAUCAUUAAACACCCCUCACACCCUCUCCAUGAACUGUUUGUUCUUCUGCCAUCAGACAAACGUUACAGGAGCAUCAAAACUAAAACCACAAGGCUACUAAACAGCUUCAUCCCACAGGCAGUCAGACUGCUAAAUAGCUGCUCCACCUGACUCUGCUUUGGACAAUUUUAACUUGCACUGGACACUUAUAACUGAUUUUAACUGACAUGUGGCUGUUGUGUUUUACUAUUUAUUGUUAUGUUUAUUAUUUAGUGUUGCAUUUGUUAUGUUAUGAUUGCACUGCCCCUGAGAAUCGCUGUCUCAUUCUGCCCUGCAGAGCUGAUUUAUGGUUCGAAUGACAAUAAAGUUUUUUGAAUCUUGAAUCUUGAAACUAUCACCAAUAAUGUACACAAAGCUAAUCCAGGGGAUGGUGUGGGUAGAAUGGUAGCAAACAGUUAGGAAGAAUAUACCCAAGUCAACGGAACAAUUUCCCUUGCUUUACAAACAGAGUCAGUGUUAUGUAACAAAUGAUACUUGGGAGUGACAGGAAUGCUGCACAUAGACUGCUACUCACACAACAAAAGCUUCUUUUUAAAUGAACAUGUGAAUUUUGCAGAUUUAAACCUUUUAUUGUAUUGACUAAAAUCAGAACAUACCAAACAAUCCUCAAAUUGCGUUAAAGAAAAAUCUGGCUGACAACCUUUGCCUGACUGAAACUUCAUUGUCUGGCUCUACCAUCUACCUGCCCAAAUCCACCGUGUAGGAAAUCUCUUCAAAUUAUAAUUUGGCUUGACCUCUACUCCUCAGGCACUUCUCCCAACUUUGAGAAUCUCAUUUGGUUUCACUUCUCUCUGUGAAUUUAAAAUUCUCUGGCACUCAUCCAAGUCCCAUAAACAUUUUCUCAAUAAGAUAUUUUUACUCCUUUCCACCCUCAGAUGCUAUUUUGCAUUCAGAAAGAUUUCAAUCUCCAUUAUACUCGCCCUUUAGGAAUUCAUUAGUAUCUUAGCCAAUUUCUUCUUCCUCAUCGUGCAAGCUGUUUGCAUAUAAACAUUCUAGAUGAAGGCUCCUGAUACGAAACAUCGUCUACAGAUGCUGCCUGGCUUGCAGAGUCCCUCUAGCACAGGGAUUCCCAACCUGAAGUCUUUGGAAUCCUCAGAAAAUAGUAAGGGUGAGUUGCAUAAAAAAGAUUGAGAAUCCUUUCUCUAGCAGUUUGGUCCUUUGCUAUAAACACUUCUCUUAACAUUGCCAAAGAUGUGAAAUACUUUGACUAUUUCCUUGUAAUGCUCUCCUCCUUAGCCCACUCAUCUCCCUUGACUUCCCAAGGAAGUAACUUCUUUUUUUAAACAAUUCAUUUUCAAAAUUGGGGGACUGGGAUGAGCCAAGCAGAGCUGGCAGCACUGAACAGCCUCACUCACUGAGCUGGUGAGGCUGGGUGGUAGCAGCUCUUCCUAUGCCUGUCCAUUCUCGAGGUACAACUGUUUCUGCAGUUCUCCCACACAAACUGUUUCUGUUCAUUUCCAAGUUAUCAAAAAUUCAGGCUAUGAACAAAUCUCAAAACGGAAGGAAUCCUGCCAUAACUUGGGGACUACCUGCAUUUAUAUAUUUGCAUUUAACCCCUCAUCUCUUCACCCCACCAACUCUACACUAGUUUCUUUGCUUUUCCAGUUCUGACCUCAUUUUCACUCAUUUUAAUCACUCCCCUAUCAUUACCCAUGACUGUAACCUGUUAGUCUCCCAAAUACCUUCCCACUUUCCUUCAUCACUCCCUUGAGUGUUGCUCCUUUCUUUAUUGGUCCUGUUCUAUUUACAGGACUAUGCCAGUUUUUGUUUAAUUCUUGUUUUAUUAUCGAGGAUGGUGAAGGCAACUGUUCUCACAGCAUUUAAAUCCAAUUGAGAAGAACAUCUGAACCCCAGCACACCGAAGCUACAGACCAAGUGCUGGAAAACGGAGACUAGUAUAAAUACUAACUGGAUAGUAUAGAUAGUAACUGGGCGGCUGUCACGGACCGGGUGGGCCGAUGAGCUAAUUUCCCUACUGAUGCUAUUACAACUUAAACUACUUUUCAAAAAUGACAUUGAACAUGUUUUGAAAAUCCUGCUCCUGCUUGCAUGGCGGUAAAAACUAUUAAUUUGCAACCCGCACACUGUUGUAAUGGGAACCUGCGCAUUCCCCAAUGCAAAGUCGAUUCUGAUUCUCUUGAGUUGACAUUACCGAGCCCGAAUGUGCUUCUGCAGGGGUGAGGGACCCUGCCUCUUCCCGCCUGCCCGGCACGACAACCACCCAGACCGAUCUCCGGGGAGAGGGAAGAAAGGAGGGGAUAGAGCCCACAU